rnacentral:rRNA from 1 species
UUCGGAAUGAAACCAGAUAUGACUUAGUGGCGGACGGGUGAGUAACACGUGAGCAACCUGCCUUUCAGAGGGGGAUAACGGCUGGAAACGGUCGCUAAUACCGCAUGACGUGUUCGGAUGGCAUCAUCUGAACAUCAAAGAUUUAUCGCUGAAAGAUGAGCUCGCGUCCGAUUAGACAGUUGGCGGGGUAACGGCCCACCAAAUCAACGAUCGGUAGCCGGACUGAGAGGUUGAACGGCCACAUUGGAACUGAGAACGGUCCAGACUCC